GCGGCUAUAGCUCAGUUGGUUAGAGCGCCUGGUUGUGGUCCAGGAGGUCGUGGGUUCAAUUCCCACUAGUCGCC
rnacentral:tRNA from 2 species